UGUUUUCAUUGUCUCUCUCUAUCCCUUUGUGGCUAUUGCCACUUAAUCUGGCAAAACAUUUGCUGAGCACCGCAAAUUUCCAGUAAACAUAAGUUCUAAACAGUUUUUGGUUUACCGGUUGCUUUUUAUUGUGAGGAGGAGGCUUUGUUUAUAUUUCACCGGAGAAGGCUAUAUAAAACGCUGCCAGGCGACGGGAACAUGCAACAGUCGCGACUGGCACUUGCCACUGACUCCCCACAGAGACGGAAUAUUGUAUCUUGAAGCACUUUGGUGUUGCUCAGCAGCUCUUUUAUUGUGAAUAAUCAUCUUGUCUGUGAAGUCUGAAGUGGACCACAAACACGGAGCGUUCGCCAUCUUUUUGUAAUUGCCAGUGAUCCACUGCAAGUGUACGCUAUUCACAGUUAAGGAGAUACUCAGCAUUUAUGCUCGACUCAAUUCUGCAUUCCUAAUCUUAUCAAUUCGUCUCAGAUACCCAGCAAAAUGUGUCCACAGUUCUGUGGCUGCUGCUGCGACACUAAUACCCAGCAAACGGGCAGCAACCAAGGCCAGAGUCAGGAUAUAGAGAUGAAGGAUUUGACGCCAAGCCUGAUGAUCACUAUCACCAAACAGCCGCAAAAAAGUAGCUUCCCAAAUCGCAGCUCAUAUUCCUCGCUCGGCGUGGCGGAACGCCCAAAUAUUAUAGGCAGCUGGAACUGCGACGGGGAGAUCGAGCACUACAAUACCGAUGAACAUGAGCCAACCAUAUACAACAAAGCACUUUGAAUGCACAUCCUAAACGAAAUGUGUGUGUCGGUGGUGGGCGGUAAGAAAGUAAAUUUCAUUAAAUGGAGGAUUAACACAAGUAAGAGGCUGGUGUCAAAAACGUCCAGCUUGUACCCAGUCUAAAAUACCUCGUCACCUGGAGAUCAACAUAUAGCCCGCGAAACACAUAUUUAUAUUAUAUAAUAUAAAUAUAAUAUAUAUAUAUUACAAGCUUGUAAAUUUCAGAAUAUCCAAAACUAAUAACAAAAACAGUAAAAACAUAAUAUAGCAACCUGUGCGAGAAACAACAUUUUGAGCCUUCUUUACCAGAAAAGAGGGUCACUGAAGUGGAUAAACUUAUCUGUGGAUCGCAUCAUGCAUAUAAAGUACCAUCUACCAUAAGUUACAUGCAUUUGCACAACUAUAUAUAUCCCAAUAUUUCUUUUUCGAUGAAUGCAGGGUAUGCAUGCAAAGAAAACAAAACAAACAAAUGCAAAUAA
rnacentral:misc_RNA from 1 species